CUUGAAUCUGGGAGACGGAGGUUGCAGUGAGCCGAGAUGGUGCCACUGCACUCCAGCCUGAAUGACAGAGCGAGACUCUGUCUCAAAAAUAAAAUAAAAAAAUAACGUGGGGUACUUGAUGCCUUUGUCUGUAGCUUGGCCUCAGGCACCAUUUCUGGGGCAACAGAAAACUUCAUUCCAUGCCUCAUCCUGGUAUGCAUGCAAAAAUGUUCAUUGCCCCAUUAUCUGCAACCAUGAAAAACUGGAAACGACCCUCAGGCCUAACAGUAGGGGAGGGUUAUAAACUUUGCAAGAGCAGGAACAACAUCUGCCUUGUUCAUUGUUAGGUCUGCAGUGCCCAGCGUGGUGCCCUGCACACAGUAGGUGCUCAGGAAACAUCUGUGGAAGGAAGAGAAUAAAGGAGGGAGGAAGGAAAGGAGGGGGAAAAAAGGAAGAAGAAACUUUGAAAGUUCUUCCGGAAUCCCAGAAAGCAAACCCUUCCCUGCUUCCGCCGCACUGGAGAAGAUGCACCUUUUGGGGGGCUGUGACUGUUCAUUUUUAAAACUUCCAUCCAAUGCCCCCAAAACUUAAUUCCAUUUUGAGUGUUUUUCUUUUUUCAUUUUCAUCCUCCACUGUUUUUUUAACGCUCACUGUUGAAUUUCUCGUUUGGAGAGGCUGAUUGAAUUGUGGCUCAGGGGACUUGAGACAGUCACUUCAGACAUUUAGAGUUCCAAUCACGCUGUCGCCACCCCAGUCCCCCACCCUUGGCACCAGGGAAACUAUCUCUUAUGAGAGCUGAUUAUCUUUACAGCCUAGAACAUCACACUCUAAAACACAGGCUGUGCAAAUCAGAAUUCUCCGUGACUAAUGUACAUCCAGUGAAAAUAUCAAAAUGCCCAUUUAACAGGAGAGGGCUGAUUGGAAAAGCCCACCUGAUCUGCUGGUGAAGUUCCGUGGCUGAUGUCAUUUGAGAGUCACCGGGUCCAGGCCUGGGGAAGGCUGUGAGAUCACCUGUCUGGGGGCUACUCUGUCUCAUCCCUCAGGGCCCAGUCAGUGCCCACGGUCCUCCCUCCAGAGAGAGUGGCAGGCAGGGGAGGCCAGCGGACGGGGAGGCAGGCACAUCAAGUGAGCACCUACUGUGUGCUGGGCACUGUGCCAGGAAGGACCUCAUGCAGUCUGAGAACAACCUUGCCAGGUGAGAUUUAUUUAUCACCCUUUUGCAGAGGGAGCUUCCUAUGGGAUCUCAAAGGAUAAAGAGGAGUUAGUCGGGGGAAGUGGAGAGGCCUGGAAAGGCAUUCCAUGAAGAGGAGACGUCAUUGCAAAGGCAAGAGGCAAUAAAAUAGAACACAAGCAGUCUGGUGUUGCUGAAGCUUAAAGUGCCAGCAGGGAGAGGGAAGGACAAGGCUGGAGAGGUGGACAGGGAAGGAGCAGGGAGACACAACUAGAAGCCUGGAGAAGCUGGAGCGGGCUGUCACUGUCAUUCAGGAGAGAGAUGACGGAGGCUGUAGAGAUGUGUGCUGGAGGCAAAGCCAGCAGGACUGGGUGACUGAUUCAAUGCCCACGGAGGCUGAGGGGUGGUGAGGACCCAAGGAUGACACCCAGAUUCCAUCUCCAGAGCUGAUGGCGGGGCUGCCUCUGAUUCGGGGACUCAAGGGAGGCACUGAUGGAGGAAAGAUGCUGCUUUGCUUCGUGGACAUGCUGGGUUCAUUGUGCUCACAAGACAUGAGCCCAGGAUGACAGGGUCUGACUCAUAGUGGGUCUAGACCCAAAAUCGAGGCACAGAUGUUGGUCAUGAGCUUGACAAUGAUCCCUACAGCCACAGAUCAGAGGGGUGCACAUGGAGCGUGGGGGAGGCUGCAGAUGAGCACCCUGAUCAUUCAUCCUGCACACAAGUUCCAUUUGGCCUGCAAUGUUUCAAAAAUCUUUGAGCCAAUGUUUAAAAAUCAAGCACACUCUCUUAAAAAUACAAAUCUCUGGUUUUUCUUAGAAACUCAGAAGACCUGGCAACAGAGGCUGGAAAUUUCUCAAAGCAACCAUCACCGAGGAUUGGCUGUCCCUUAGACAGGGGCACGCACUCUCCUGUUCACCACAGCCCCACCCUUGUCUAUUGGCUCCCAGAACCACAGGCAGGAGAGUGAGGCUGGUGAGACCCCCACAUAGCUGGGUCACCAGACUGGUCAGCGACAGAGCCGGGAUUCUAGCUCAGGCCCCUCUGCUUCCAAUGCCACCUGCUAUGCUGCCUCCCAGAGCUACUCUGCGGGAAUUUGGACCAGUUUAGCCAGUGCCUCAUGGAAAUCUAGCCUGGGAUUGGUGCAGAGUCUCAGCUGCAAGACCCAAAGUCUUGCGUGUCUAACCCAGCUCCACCUGGCUCCUCUGCGGUCUGGGCAAGGCCAGCAUACAGCUGAGCAGGAAGGAAGGAAGCAGUUUCUGAGACGGGGUGCCCAGGCCAGACCGGAAGAGACAUGGAUGGGGAGACAGGGGAGCUGGGUUCAUGAAUUUGCUCUGCUGGUACUUGGCUGUGACACUUGGAAGCACCUUGGCGCCUCGGCCUCCUCAUCUGUAAUUUCAUUUCGUAAAUGUUUACUGCAGGUCUGGUGACUGUGUGUCAUGGUUCAUCUGGAGUUCACAAGCAGGCCAAGGGUGGCUCCAGGCCUUUCUUGCACAGGCAUUGAACGCGACCCUCCGACCUCUCUAUUGUUACAUCUUUUCCCCUGCUGAGACCUCAUCAGCCUCCGAUCUUGGCUGAGAUAUCAUGUCCUCCCACAAACCCUCCUGAGCCAGGAACCCUCUUCCCAGUGGGACUCACUACAGAGAGGACCCAGCCUGUGGUGAUGAUGAUGAAGAAGUGGAUGGCUACGGCCUUUCUAAUUUUCCCACCAAACUGUGAGCUUCCAGACAGCUGGCAUAGAAGUACCCAAAACAUGUUUGUAGAAUGAAUGAAUGGCCUUCACAAGCUAAGGAACCCAUGGCUUCUUCACUGUCACUGAUUAGCAGUGGGCCCUGGAGCUUCUCUGAGCCUUGGGCUUCACAUCCAGCACAUGGGGCUCACGAGACCUGUGCUUCCUGUGUCUGCCCCACUGAGCUCUCUCCACCCUGCUGCGGGCUUAUAGGCCCCCAGCUCACAGCUAGAGUGGGUUGAAUAAUGUCCCCCAAAAUUCACACCCACCCGAACCCUCAGAAUGGGACCUUAUUUGGAAAUGGAGUCUUUGCAGAUGUAACUAAGGUGAGGAUCACAAUGAGAUCAUAUUAGAUUAGAGUGAGCUCCAAAUGCAAUGACAGGCAUCCUUGUAAGAGACAGAAAAGGACACAGAGAAGGCCAUGUGGAGGUGGAGGCAGAGUUUGGGACGAUGCAGCAGCCAGCCAAGGAGCACCCAAGAAUGCUGGGAGCUACCAGAAGCCACAAGGGCCAAAGAGGAUCCUCCUCCACCAGACGCUCUGCUGAUACCUAGAUUUUGGACUUCUGAUCCCUUGAACUGUGAGAAAAUACAUUUGCUGUUUUAACUGAAGUUGGUGUGUCCACAUUACAGGCUGCUGAGGUGGCCUGGCCACACACCUGCCUGGUGUCGUCCCUACUUGGAGCAGUGAGGUUUGACUCCACAGGAUCACAGCUGCUGCAAAGCUGUCUUCACAUCACUGAGGGAAAUGGAAGGCAACCUUAGAAGUUUCAUCUCUAUCCUCUCCUGGCCCCAAAUUAUUGCCUGAGAACCUAAUUUCCUUUCUCCCUUUCUUCCUGUUUUCUGUCCCUUCUUUCCUUCCUCCUUCCCUUUCCUCCCGUCCUUUCCUGCCUGCCUGCAAUUGCCUUAGUCUCAUGCCCUCCAUCCCAUCUAGCUCCAGCCUCCCUCUUCAGUUCUACCUCCCACCCACUCCAAGCAAGCCCCUUCCCCCAGCCAACUCCUCCCAAGGCAGCCCCUGGCCUCCCUGCCGUGUCUCCCUCAGCAGGUUCCCUUGGUCUAUGGUGCUCCGCCUCACAGGCAUACGUGGAAAAUCUGCUCCUUCACGUGCAAGCUCAGAUCCCACCUCCUCCUGGCACACCCUGGCGACAGUACUUCCCUCUGACUUUCCACCACACCGGUGUUCACAUAAAUGUCUUCGUACCUGAUCUGUGCCAGGUGGACCUAGGGGCCAGGAAGUACAGUGACCUCGCCAUCUGGUAAGGGAGUGGGAAAUGAUGAAGAGACAGCGUUGACAGGUGGGCAGCAGAGGAGGAAGCAGCAGCUUUUGCAGGACAGGGAGGGCUGUGUCCAGGAGGGAAGGGCCACAGGGACAGAGCACAUGCUCCAAGAGACAGGGAAGUCUGGGUAACAGGAUUUGGGGUUCAAAGGGAAAUGAAAAUGGGGGCCAGGUCAUGAGGUCAAGUUAGCCAUUCUGAGGACUUGAUCCUGUCGACGUUGAGUGUUCUGAGUGUGGGCUCCAGCCCACCUACAUCAGAAUUACCUCAGGAGUUUGUGAAAAUGCAAUUUUUUUUUGAGACAGAGUCUCACUCUGUUGCCCAGGCUGGAGUACAGUGGUGCAAUCUCAGCUCACUGCAACCCCUGCUUCCCGGGUUCAAGCAAUCCUCCUGCCUCAGCCUCCCGAGUAGCUGGGAUUACAGGCAUGUGCCCCCACGCCCGGCUAAUUUUUGUAUUUUCAGUAGAGACGAGGUUUCACCAUGUUGGCCAGGGUGGUCUCCAACUCCUGGCCUCAAGCGAUCCACCUGCCUCAGCCUCCCAAAGUGCUAGGAUUACAGGUGUGAGCCAUCGCACACCCAGCAGUGAAAAUGCAAUUCUUGAGUCUCCACCCAGCUCGGGAUUUUUCACAAGCUCCUUGGAUAAUGGUGACGCACCUUUAGUCUGCCCAGAACAGGAGAGGAUGGAGGCAGACUGAGGGAUUCGAAAGGACCAAGUGUCACGAUCAGAUCCACUUUUUGGAAGAAACUGGUAGCACCAACUACAUACGUGUCUUAUGUUCUUGGUUCUGCCUCCAUGGUGCACACUGUCGGUGCCACCUACUCAGCAACUAUCCCUCCUUCUUCCUUGUUAACAGAAGCCCAAUUCUAUUCAGCAUCAAGUAAGUGGACAUUAAUAUAUUCAGGGAAGGGAGGCUCCACCCCUAGCCCUACAGGAGAGCCCUAUUUGUCCCUUUUGUCCCGUACAAACAUUCCAGACUCCCUUGCAGCAAGAAGUGGCAAUGUGACAGUUAUGGUCCAUGAGGCAUAAGGGACAAGUUGUAAGAUGACUCUGGGGAAACCUGGCCUGUUAACAUGGGCUCAGGUGAAGGAAAAGCUGGCGGGUGCUGGGCCUGCUGCUUCUUGACACUGCGCAUGUGAGGAAGGGCCAUCUCACAACCAAGAGACAGCAAGACUUCCAGCCAGGUGUGGUGGCUCACUCCUAUAAACCCAGCACCUUGGGAGGCUGAGGUGGGAGCAUCGCUUGAGCCCAGGAGUCCAAGAUCAGCCUAGGCAACAUCGUGAGACUCCCUCUCUACAGAAAAUUUAAAAAUUAGCUGGGAGUAGCGGCGUGUGCCAGCUACUCAGGAGGCUGAGGUGGGAGGAUUGCUUGAGCCCAGAAGUUUGAGGCUGCAGUAAGCCAUGAUUACAGCACUGUACCCAAGCCUGGGUGACAAAGUGAGACCCUGUCUCAAAAAAAAAAAAAAGAAAAGAAAAAGCCUCUAUGUGUGCAGGGUGCCAGAGCAGAAGGAUGCAAAGAACCUGGUUCUUGAGGACAUGGUUCAGCCACUACCCCAAAUCCAGAACCACCCCCUCGCCCCACCACCAAGAUUUCUUGUCCUGAGAUUGUUAGACUGUAACCACCUUGAGGGCAGGGACUCUGAUACCUGUACUCCUGGCACCUUGAACAGUACUUAGCACACAGUAGGUGCUCAAUAAAUAUCUGUUGACUAAGUUUUCAUAAAUAAGUAAAUGUCUCCAUUGCUUAUACCAGUGGGUUGAGGCUUCUGUUGCUUGUAGCCAAGGAAUCCUGACUCAGUAACUUCUCUCUCUGGCCCCAAGAACCUCCUGAGAACAGGAGAGGGGCUGGGUAUUACUGAACACUGUACUCCACAGGCCCUGGCACAAGACCCACACUCGGUAGAAAUAAGCAGCUCUUGCUCAGAGGAGUCACAGACCCUGCCCUGGACCUGGCUUCUGGGUUCACCAGAGCUGGAGGGUUGAGUCUGCAAGUUCCCCUCACACAGACCUAGGGCAAGACGCCCUGUAACAGCUGAUGAGAGGAGCUUAAGAAAGUCCACUGGGGGCCGGGCGCGGUGGCUCACGCCUGUAAUCCCAGCACUUUGGGAGGCCGAGGUGGGCGGAUCAUGAGGUCAGGAGAUCGAGACCAUCCUGACUAACAUAGUGAAACCCUAUCUCUAUUAAAAAUAGAAAAAAUUAGCCAGGCAUGGUGGUGGGCGCCUGUUGUCCCAGCUACUCAGGAGGCUGAGGCAGAAGAAUGGCGUGAAUCCGGGAGGAGAGCUUUCAGUGAGCCGAGAUCGCGCCACUGCACUCCAGCCUGGGCGACAGAGCAAGACUCCAUCUCCAAAAAAAAAAAAGAAAGUCCACUAGGUCUCCCACACCAGCGAUACCCAGAGGCCACACCAGCUGCAGGCUGAGCGGGUGGAAGCUGGCAGCAAGCACUGCCACUAGAUUUGUCUUGAGGUGAAAGAACUUCUGAGACUAGCCAGAUCCAACCUCCACACAAGUCAGGAAUUUUUAAGCCACUGUCUUCAAGUCCCUCCCAGUUCUAAGUGUGGCAGCCCUGGGAUGCCGCAAUGAGGGAUGAGGGACAGGGCAUGAGCCGCUCAA
rnacentral:lncRNA from 1 species